AUGAUUAUAACAUUAUACUCAAACACAUAUAAGCCAUUUUCGCAUGGCUAUCCAAAAUUAUACAAGUCCAAAGGGUCCACGACCCACAACAAACGGGUAGUCCUAUACAUGCCAUUUCGAAGUUCAACCAAAAUUGUACCAAAAAAGGGCUUUGAUAGUGUGGGCGACUUUGACUUCAAGAUCCCGAGUCCGAUAGCUGGAGAACCAAAUCUAUAAAACAGAGGAGCAAUGAAACGGAGUAAGCAAUUUAUGCUUAGUAAGUUUUGAGCAAGGAAUUCCAGCACAACAAAGUAUAGCAUUCAUAUAGCUAAACGGAUAAUUUCAUAUGCACAAAUUUUCGAUAUCAUACUUGCUUCACAUUACCAACCCUUAUGUACAUACACAAAAGAUCAACUUAGCCAAAGGCCGGUAGCUCGUUUAUCAACUGAGCAAAUACUUAUUUGUAAAGGCUCAACUAAAUUCAAGCACAUACGAAACAUACCUCAAUGUUGGGAUGUUUCUAGAGCAUUAACUGAAAUUUUUACAGCAAGAUCAUUCACUCCCAAAUCACGUACCUUCGGAAUUUAACCGGAUAUAGCUCCUCGUUCAAAUGCCUUCGGGACAUAGCCCGGUUAUAGUAACUCGCACAAAUGCCUUCGGGACUUAACCCGGAUUUAGUAACUCGCACAAAUGCCUUCGGGCUUAGCCCGGAAUUAGUAUCUCGCACAAAUGCCUUCGGAUCUUAGUCCGGAUAUGGUCACUUAGCACAAAGCCUUCGGGACUUAGCCCGGACAUCAUUCAAAUAACCAUGCACAUUUAACAAUAAAUCAUGGCACAUUCGUAUUUCGUUUUCGUUAGCAAAACUCAAACACAAAACAUUUAUCAUUCUUGCAAUUUCGGCUCAAUAGCCACACACAAAGAGCAUGAUUUUGUUUGCUUAAAACAUGAUCUAAUCAAAUCUUAAUUUAAGCUCUCUUACUCAAGAACUUACCUCGGGUGUUGUCGAACGAUUCCG
rnacentral:lncRNA from 1 species